UACGGAGGUUGCAAGCGUUAUCCGGAUUUAUUGGGUUUAAAGGGUGCGUAGGCGGGAAUUUAAGUCAGUGGUGAAAGACUGUCGCUUAACGAUAGCAUUGCCAUUGAUACUGAAUUUCUUGAGUACAUUUGAGGUGGGCGGAAUAAGUAGUGUAGCGGUGAAAUGCUUAGAUAUUACUUAGAACACCAAUUGCGAAGGCAGCUCACUAAACUGUAACUGACGCUGAGGCACGAAAGCGUGGGGAUCAAACAGG
rnacentral:rRNA from 1 species